UCAAGUGAAGAAGCGCAUACGGUGGAUGCCUUGGCAGUCAGAGGCGAUGAAAGACGUGGUAGCCUGCGAAAAGCUUCGGGGAGUCGGCAAACAGACUGUGAUCCGGAGAUGUCUGAAUGGGGGAACCCAGCCAUCAUAAGAUGGUUAUCUUACACUGAAUACAUAGGUGUAAGAGGCGAACCAGGGGAACUGAAACAUCUAAGUACCCUGAGGAAAAGAAAUCAACCGAGAUUCCCUUAGUAGUGGCGAGCGAACGGGGACCAGCCCUUAAGUUGUAUUGAGAUUAGCGGAACGCUCUGGAAAGUGCGGCCAUAGUGGGUGAUAGCCCUGUACGCGAAAAUCCCUUUGCAAUGAAAUCGAGUAGGACGGGGCACGAGAAACCUUGUCUGAAUAUGGGGGGACCAUCCUCCAAGGCUAAAUACUACUGACUGACCGAUAGUGAACCAGUACCGUGAGGGAAAGGCGAAAAGAACCGCGGAGAGCGGAGUGAAAUAGAUCCUGAAACCGUAUGCGUACAAGCAGUGGGAGCCCACGUUGUUGGGUGACUGCGUACCUUUUGUAUAAUGGGUCAGCGACUUAUUUUCAGUGGCGAGCUUAACCGAAUAGGGGAGGCGUAGCGAAAGCGAGUCUUAAUAGGGCGUCUAGUCGCUGGGAAUAGACCCGAAACCGGGCGAUCUAUCCAUGGGCAGGUUGAAGGUUGGGUAACACUAACUGGAGGACCGAACCGACUACCGUUGAAAAGUUAGCGGAUGACCUGUGGAUCGGAGUGAAAGGCUAAUCAAGCUCGGAGAUAGCUGGUUCUCCUCGAAAGCUAUUUAGGUAGCGCCUCAUGUAUCACUGUAGGGGGUAGAGCACUGUUUCGGCUAGGGGGUCAUCCCGACUUACCAAACCGAUGCAAACUCCGAAUACCUACAAGUGCCGAGCAUGGGAGACACACGGCGGGUGCUAACGUCCGUCGUGAAAAGGGAAACAACCCAGACCGUCAGCUAAGGUCCCAAAGUCAUGGUUAAGUGGGAAACGAUGUGGGAAGGCUUAGACAGCUAGGAGGUUGGCUUAGAAGCAGCCACCCUUUAAAGAAAGCGUAAUAGCUCACUAGUCGAGUCGGCCUGCGCGGAAGAUGUAACGGGGCUCAAACCAUGCACCGAAGCUACGGGUAUCACCUUUGGUGAUGCGGUAGAGGAGCGUUCUGUAAGCCUGUGAAGGUGAGUUGAGAAGCUUGCUGGAGGUAUCAGAAGUGCGAAUGCUGACAUGAGUAACGACAAUGGGUGUGAAAAACACCCACGCCGAAAGACCAAGGUUUCCUGCGCAACGUUAAUCGACGCAGGGUUAGUCGGUCCCUAAGGCGAGGCUGAAAAGCGUAGUCGAUGGAAAACAGGUUAAUAUUCCUGUACUUCUGGUUAUUGCGAUGGAGGGACGGAGAAGGCUAGGCCAGCCUGGCGUUGGUAGUCCAGGUUUAAGGUGGUAGGCUGAGAUCUUAGGUAAAUCCGGGAUCUUAAGGCCGAGAGCUGAUGACGAGUGUUCUUUUAGAACAUGAAGUGGUUGAUGCCAUGCUUCCAAGAAAAGCUUCUAAGCUUCAGGUAACCAGGAACCGUACCCCAAACCGACACAGGUGGUUGGGUAGAGAAUACCAAGGCGCUUGAGAGAACUCGGGUGAAGGAACUAGGCAAAAUGGCACCGUAACUUCGGGAGAAGGUGCGCCGGUGAGGGUGAAGCAUUUACUGCGUAAGCCCACGCCGGUCGAAGAUACCAGGCCGCUGCGACUGUUUAUUAAAAACACAGCACUCUGCAAACACGAAAGUGGACGUAUAGGGUGUGACGCCUGCCCGGUGCCGGAAGGUUAAUUGAUGGGGUUAGCGCAAGCGAAGCUCUUGAUCGAAGCCCCGGUAAACGGCGGCCGUAACUAUAACGGUCCUAAGGUAGCGAAAUUCCUUGUCGGGUAAGUUCCGACCUGCACGAAUGGCGUAACGAUGGCGGCGCUGUCUCCACCCGAGACUCAGUGAAAUUGAAAUCGCUGUGAAGAUGCAGUGUAUCCGCGGCUAGACGGAAAGACCCCGUGAACCUUUACUAUAGCUUUGCACUGGACUUUGAAUUUGCUUGUGUAGGAUAGGUGGGAGGCUUUGAAGCGUGGACGCCAGUCUGCGUGGAGCCAACCUUGAAAUACCACCCUGGCAACUUUGAGGUUCUAACUCAGGUCCGUUAUCCGGAUCGAGGACAGUGUAUGGUGGGUAGUUUGACUGGGGCGGUCUCCUCCUAAAGAGUAACGGAGGAGUACGAAGGUGCGCUCAGACCGGUCGGAAAUCGGUCGUAGAGUAUAAAGGCAAAAGCGCGCUUGACUGCGAGACAGACACGUCGAGCAGGUACGAAAGUAGGUCUUAGUGAUCCGGUGGUUCUGUAUGGAAGGGCCAUCGCUCAACGGAUAAAAGGUACUCCGGGGAUAACAGGCUGAUACCGCCCAAGAGUUCAUAUCGACGGCGGUGUUUGGCACCUCGAUGUCGGCUCAUCACAUCCUGGGGCUGAAGCCGGUCCCAAGGGUAUGGCUGUUCGCCAUUUAAAGUGGUACGCGAGCUGGGUUUAGAACGUCGUGAGACAGUUCGGUCCCUAUCUGCCGUGGACGUUUGAGAUUUGAGAGGGGCUGCUCCUAGUACGAGAGGACCGGAGUGGACGAACCUCUGGUGUUCCGGUUGUCACGCCAGUGGCAUUGCCGGGUAGCUAUGUUCGGAAAAGAUAACCGCUGAAAGCAUCUAAGCGGGAAACUUGCCUCAAGAUGAGAUCUCACUGGAACCUUGAGUUCCCUGAAGGGCCGUCGAAGACUACGACGUUGAUAGGUUGGGUGUGUAAGCGCUGUGAGGCGUUGAGCUAACCAAUACUAAUUGCCCGUGAGGCUUGACCAU
rnacentral:rRNA from 1 species